AUUGAACGCUGGCGGCGUGCCUAACACAUGCAAGUCGAACGCGAAAGGGGCUUCGGCCCUGAGUAAAGUGGCGCACGGGUGAGUAACACGUGGAUAAUCUGCCUUCAAAUUGGGGAUAACGGCCGGAAACGGCCGCUAAAUACCGAAUACGCUGACGAUGUAACAGUUGUCGGGAAAGACGGCCUCUGCAUAUGCUGUUGUUUGAAGAUGAGUCCGCGUCCCAUUAGCUUGUUGGUGGGGUAAGAGCCUACCAAGGCGACGAUGGGUAGCCGUUCUGAGAGGAUGAUCGGCCACACUGGAACUGAAACACGGUCCAGACUCCUACGGGAGGCAG
rnacentral:rRNA from 1 species